CUUGCCGCUUGUUACAUCAGACAAUAAUGACGUGCUAAUGGUUAAUGGCUUCUACUUACUUCAGCUACCUUUAUGAGAAAGCCAAAUACAAUCCAAAGAAAAUUCAUGAGAUAUGAUGCAUCGGCUUGUAAAAUUAUAAAAAUAUGAUUGCCUGAACAUUCAACCGUUACAAUAGCUAUUAAUUUUUAUUAAAUUUUACUCGUGGCCUACGAAAUAUGUGCUGAAAUUGUUUACUGAGCAACGAACGUAACCAUUACACUCAUCGCUACGUUGGAUCAGCUCGAUGCAAAGAAAGCCAACAUUCAGUGUGAUAUCACAAGAUCCAUAUUGCACUAGGUGACAUGCCUAGCAGCCGUGAUAUUGAACGAGCUGAACGUAAUGGAAGAUUUCGUUCCCGUAGAAGAGGUAGUACCAGCAGUGAUAUAAAUCGUCACAGUUUUGAAGCACUUGAUAAGAAGCACAGAAGGCAUGGGAAAAGUAAAAGUUCUGGAAAAAAGAAAAAGAAGAGGUCUAGAGAUAAAUCUAUAGAAAAUGUUCCAACUGUAGCUUCUUCCAUUGUUAAACCUUUGGUUGAAUACUCAGAUGUGAGUAGCGAAGAUUUAUCUGAACCAGAAGCAGGAGAAAUUCAGUCAGAAGAUAGUAGGGGUAAUAGCUAUACAGAUGGAGAAGUACCUGAACCAGUUUUGCAGAGACGUUAUUAUGGUGGAAGUCCAGUACAUGCCCUUGGAGCAUCUCCUAUUAGUCUUUCACCAUCUCCACCUGUUCAGCAUAGGCAUUCUAAUAGACAUUAUUCACCAAAUGAACAGCAGCCUUCAACACUUCAUGGUGGAACACCUGACUACGAAGAAGAGUCUAGACGAUAUGCGAGAAGAAAAGAGAAAAAACACAAACGGGAAAAGAAGAAGAAGAGAAGUCUUAGUCCUUCUUCAAGUUCGGGAAAGAAGAAGAAACGGAAGUCCAAAAGACAUUCUCAUAGUUUGAGCCCACAUCGUAUCGCGGAUGAAAUUAUCAUCAGUCCAGAUCAUGAAAAACCAGUUGGAAACUGGUCAGAGUCUCCACCUUUGCCAUUAAAAGAUAGUACCUCGCCCAUAUCGCCUGCAACGCCUCAAGAACAAAGAUGCUUGAGUGACGUAGAACUUGAAAUAACAAGGCAACCCCGAAAUGUAACUCCUCCCCCACUUCCUCCAAGGCCAACAGAAUCACCACAUACCCCUUUAAUGCCACCAAGAACUACAACGCCAGAAAGCAAUAAAGCAAGUUUAUCAACAAUGAAACAUACACCUGAAAGACAAAAACAUAGUCCUAGUAUUCAUACUCGUCGUAAUAGCGUUAGUCCAGGCCCCACCAUUAGUUCAAGUCGGAGGAGACCUCAUAGUCCAAGUCCACCAGCAAGAAGAAGGGACCAUAGCCCAACGAGAAGAAGAGAUUUUAGUCCAAGUCCAAUGGUGCAUAGGCUUAGGCAUAGUCCUAGUCCUACAAGGCGACGGGAAUUUAGUCCAAGUCCUGUAAGCCAUCGACGCAGAGAGCCUGUUAGUUCGCCAUCUUCAAGCAAACGUAGAAGGCGGGAAGAAUCAGAACGACGACAUCGUCAUCACGAAAAAGACAGAAGGGAUAAAAGAAAAUCGAGGUCAACGAGAAGUCCCACUGGAAGCAGAUUGCAUUUACCUCUUUCUCGAUCGCGAUCUCGAAGUCCUGGAAGGUGGCGAAAAAUACAAUCUCGUUCAAGAUCGCGUUCACGAAGACGAAGUCGUACUCCAAAGAAAUCCCGUUCUCCUAGUAAAUCUCAUAAAUCAUUACGAAAACACAAAUCAAAGAGCCCUCGACCUUCGAGGAUACCUUCUCCAUCACCUCACAGACCCAGAGCAAGGAGUCCAUCAAGUAUCACGGCAAGAAAUCUUCGAGUACAGGCAAAAAUUAGUGAAACCAGUUUAUUCGCCGAGUUGGUCAAAGAUAGAAAUAUGAGAGAAUUAGCGUAUAAAAAGUUACAAGCAGCUAAAGAAAAAGCUGUUAAUCAGGAUGAAGUUCAAAUUAUAGAAGGCACCGAUGAGAAGGAUGGCGGUAGUGCAUCUUCCGAAAAUAAAGCUUCUGACAAUAAAGACAAAUAUGUAAAUCACAAAGAGCAAUUGAAGCCGACAAACGACAGUGUGAAGUCUGUUGAUCUUGUGGAUAUUCCAGUUCCAAUGUCGGAUGAUAAUGGAAUCGCAGGAAAAACGCCUCCGUUGCCGAUAGUACAAUCCGUUAAUGCACCAAAUUUGAUGCCUGGAGCUAAUCAACAUACUUUAGCUACAUAUACUUCAUCUAUAGCACUUACAUCUAGUUGUUCGGUGACUGUAACAAGCAGUCCAAACUUUCCAGCUGUUACAAAUGUACAAGCACCGCCAUUACCGCUGUCCGAACCUGCGAACACGUCGGGUUUACCACACGUAUCUAUGCCAGUGCCUAUUCCUGUACCAGUACCUGUUCUCCCCAAUUUAUCUGUACCACCACCACCUAUACCUAUACCAGUCCCAGCGCCGAAUACAGCUAUGUCUAAGUUCAACCCUCCUAAUAAUUUAGUUCCUCUAAAGUCUGUAGAUCCUCCUAAACCUCCUAUCGUGGCAUUUAAAACUAAAAGUUUAUCAAGAUUGCCAUUACCGCCUGGGAUUAAUCAAAAUGAUUUAGAGAGUAUAGACUCACCACCAAGUCGAUCUCCAAGUCCGCCUAGCAAAGCGCAGUUGAAAUUCCCUGCUUCCACUACAAAACCACCUCAGAAGAAAAGUAUUAAGGAUUUACCUAUGCCACCAGUUGUUCCUGGUUCAGAGGACUUAAGUGGAGAAGAUGAUCCUAAUGCAACACCGCCACGGUUGAAAGUUGAACGCGUUCCACCGAAACCAAAACUGAAAAGACCAAAAAUAUUGAAGCGUAGGGGUUCUAGAAACUGUCAUACUCCUAUGUCAGCUUCAGGUGGUAAAGACUGGGGAGAACGUUGUGUUGACGUGUUUGAAGUCAUAGCUCAAAUUGGGGAGGGUACUUAUGGUCAAGUUUAUAAAGCUCAGGAUAAACGAGCUGGUGUACUGGUCGCACUGAAAAAAGUUCGUUUAGAAAACGAAAAAGAAGGAUUUCCUAUCACAGCGGUACGCGAAAUUAAAAUUUUGCGUCAGCUUAAUCAUAAGAAUAUUGUCAAUUUGAGAGAAAUUGUCACUGACAAACAGGAUGCUUUAGACUUCAGAAAGGACAAAGGUUCGUUUUAUCUUGUAUUUGAAUACAUGGAUCAUGAUUUGAUGGGUCUUUUGGAAUCCGGAAUGGUUGAUUUCAAUGAAAUGAAUAAUGCAAGCAUUAUGAAACAACUGUUAGACGGACUGAAUUACUGCCACAGUAAAAACUUUUUACACAGGGACAUUAAAUGUUCUAAUAUACUAAUGAAUAACAAAGGAGAAGUCAAGUUAGCUGAUUUUGGACUUGCAAGACUUUACAACGCUGAAGAUAGGCAGCGUCCUUAUACAAACAAAGUAAUAACUUUGUGGUAUAGGCCACCUGAAUUAUUAUUGGGUGAAGAACGUUAUGGUCCUGCGAUAGAUGUGUGGAGUUGUGGUUGUAUUUUAGGAGAAUUAUUUUCUAAGAAACCACUAUUUCAGGCGAACGUAGAAAUGAUGCAGUUGGAGAUGAUUUCUAGAGUCUGUGGUACGCCGACUCCUGCCGUUUGGCCUUCUGUGAUAAAACUACCAUUGUGGCAUACGUUGAAACCAAAAAAAUCACAUAGAAGACGUUUACGAGAAGAUUUUUCAUUCAUGCCAGCUCCCGCUUUGGAUCUGUUAGACAAAAUGUUGGAAUUAGAUCCUGAAAAGCGAAUAACGGCUGCUGAUGCAUUGAAAAGUUCUUGGCUGAAAAAUGUUCAACCAGAGCAGAUGCCGGCACCUCAACUUCCUACUUGGCAAGAUUGUCACGAGCUGUGGAGCAAAAAACGAAGACGUCAGUUGCGCGAACAGCAAGAAAGCUCUGCUGGAAAGAUACCUCUUCUUCCUCUUCCAAAUAAAGGAGGUCCUCAUAAGGCUAUUGAAGAUCUAUCGGAUGUCGGGGGGAAGUAAUGUUAUUGUGGCUGAAUGAUAAAGGGCAAAUUUUAUAACACUUAUAAGAAUAUACAUAGAUCUUCCAAACGUUUAAAAAUGGAAGCAGGUUA
rnacentral:misc_RNA from 1 species